AGAUCAUUUCAAAGAGGGCUCUGGGUCUGUGAAACCAAGAGCUGUUAAUGUGAUGACCAGAGAUCAACAUUCUCCAUAGGAUGCCGCAGUCACUCAACAGUGCUAUGUUUUCCUGAGGAGAUGUAAGA